rnacentral:lncRNA from 1 species
GACCCCAACAGUGAGUUCAGCUGCUUUUGUGUCUGUUAGAGCUUCAGCCAGAGGUGAGUGGAAUACCUUAUUAUGUUUCAAAAUAAAUAAAUAAAUUCUGAGCAUGAUACAUGCAUCAUGAAUGCCAUGUGAUAUUCUAGGUUGUUUGCAUUAGAAUUCACGAAUAUGUUGCAUUGCAUAAUAUGUUGAUGAUGUGGAUGAAUGUUGGAUGAUCCUUUAGCCGCACUACGUUAUGAUAUGAUACGGUACGGAAGACCAGUGAGGCCCAUUCUACGCCCCUGACACCAUAGUAAGAGAAAGACCAGCGAGGCCCAUUCUACGCCCCUGGCAUAUUGGAAUGUUAUGUUAUGAAUGUAAUGUAAGAGAAAGACCAGCGAGGCCCAGUCUACGCCCCUGGCACUAUUGGAUUCAGUAGUGGGCUGUUGGUGACAAGUUCAUCCUUGAUGUG